GCUGAGAGGCUGGAGCUGCGGCACCGCAGGCCUGAGCCACCCCUUCUUUGCUGUCUCCCUCUCUUCCUCAGGGC
rnacentral:miRNA from 1 species